rnacentral:rRNA from 1 species
UGGGGAAUUUUGGACAAUGGGCGCAAGCCUGAUCCAGCCAUGCCGCGUGCGGGAAGAAGGCCUUCGGGUUGUAAAUCGCUUUUGUCAGGGAAGAAAUCUUCUGAGUUAAUACCUCGGGAGGAUGACGGUACCUGAAGAAUAAGCACCGGCUAACUACGUGCCAGCAGCCGCGGUAAUACGUAGGGUGCAAGCGUUAAUCGGAAUUACUGGGCGUAAAGCGUGCGCAGGCGGUUUCGUAAGACAGAGGUGAAAUCCCCGGGCUCAACCUGGGAACUGCCUUUGUGACUGCAAGGCUUGAGUGCGGCAGAGGGGGAUGGAAUUCCGCGUGUAGCAGUGAAAUGCGUAGAUAUGCGGAGGAACACCGAUGGCGAAGGCAAUCCCCUGGGCCUGCACUGACGCUCAUGCACGAAAGCGUGGGGAGCAAACAGGAUUAGAUACCCUGGUAGUCCACGCCCUAAACGAUGUCAACUGGUUGUUGGGAAGGUUCCUUCUCAGUAACGUAGCUAACGCGUGAAGUUGACCGCCUGGGGAGUACGGCCGCAAGGUUGAAACUUAAAUGAAUUGACGGGGUCAUAGCUGUUUCC